UGAACCUGGAGCUCAGCACUCUUUGCCUCUUCCUCUCCCCUUGGAUUAUGUCUGCUCCAUAAAACGUGUCUUCAAACCGCAUGUUAGAGGCUGUGGACUAAAAGCAGCCAGUGUUACUCCGCAGAAGGCGUUGGUACUGACCGGCCCAGGACUGG